AAAAUCAGGAGUCUAUAUAAGCUGGAAUCGUAACUAUGUCUGUCAUGGAUUUCUCGUUGUCUCUUGUGCACGAGGAGUGUAUACGCAGUGUGCUGUAGAAGCACAGAAUUUUAAUUUUGUGCCGGUGGAUCUAGUUCUACGAAAUUGCCUUGAGCAUUCCGCUAUUUUUGGAAAUGUAAAGUGAACAUGUGCGAAGGUUACCAUACCCCUAAACCCUCCUGUGGGGUUUAUCUGAAAGCGAGACUGUCGAUAUAUAUUAUCGAUAAAUAUUACGUUCAAAUGGCUCGCCUCGUAAAAUUGCUUGUUAUUAAAACUUCAAUGGAUGCAAUAAAUAUACUAGGUUUAAAUUGAACGACCUGACGUUUUGAAGUCAUAUCGAGCUGGAAUAAUAACGAUGUCUAUAUCGCACCUGACGUUGAUCUUAAUACAAUUGUUGUCUCUGUGGACGUGGAAUGCAAGUGCAAUAUGCUGUCCUGCAACGACCAUAACUUUUCGUUUAAAUUGUGACGAUCUUUGUAAAUCCUUGUAUCCUGCAACGGAAAAGGGUGGGUAUUGCGCUACAGAUGCGUGUGGAAGUGCUAAGCCUCCGCCCUGCUGUAUAGAUAACAAAUGUAGGCAAUGUUCUGCAAGCGUAUGUGGAGGUUUAAACAAAGCUCAGCCCUGUUGUGGAACGGGAACUUGCAAUAUAUUCUGCUGCAAAUGUAAUCGGGGCUGUUGGCCUGGAAAUCCUUUUGACGAUUUUUAUGUGACACAUGCUGAUGUCUUGUUCCUCAAUUAGCAAAUCAAAUUAAAUCAAAUUCCUCAGUAAUCGGGAGGCUGUUUAUCUAACGAAGAUGAAUCUUAGAAAUCUGGAGCAAUAUUAAACUCAAAAGGACACACCUGAAAGCAAUCUGAUCGACUUUGCAUUUAAUAGUACCAGAUAGGAUUUUUUGUUCUUACUCAUUAUCAAAACAACUCAUUAGCCACAACUAACUCGUUCAGUCAUUCCUAUUCGCUCCACUUAUAAAAUAAACUUGAUUAUAAUUUCGUCACAUUUAACCUAGGCUCACUUUCAUCGACUUGAAAACCAGAGGUCUUUAUAAGCUGGAAUCGUAAUCAUGUCAGUCGUAAAUCUGUCGUUGAUUUUGAUACACCUGUUGUCUCUUGGGACGAAGAGUGCAUACGCAGAAUGCUGUAUGAGCACAGAAUUUUUCUUUCAUUCAAAUGGAGUUAGUUGUACAAAUCUGCCUCCAGCAUUCGACUAUAUUUGGAAAUGUAAAGUGGACACAUGCGGUGGUUUACAUAACCCUGCGCCCUGCUGUGGAAUUGGACUUUGCAAUAUUUUCUGCUGCAAUUGUUAUCUCGGCUGCUGGCCUGGAAAUCCUGUGAAACAAUUUUAUGAAAAAUAUGAGGCUUAUAUAUAUGACGAAAUAAAAAGUUCUUCGUAAUGGGGAGACUGUUUAUCUGAAA